UACGUAGGGCGCAAGCGUUGUCCGGAAUUAUUGGGCGUAAAGAGCUCGUAGGCGGCCUGUUACGUCUGCUGUGAAAUCCCGGGGCUUAACCCCGGGCGUGCAGUGGAUACGGGCAGGCUGGAGGCAGGCAGGGGAGAACGGAAUUUCCGGUGUAGCGGUGAAAUGCGCAGAUAUCGGGAGGAACACCGGUGGCGAAGGCGGUUCUCUGGGCCUGUACUGACGCUGAGGAGCGAAAGCGUGGGGAGCAAACAGG
rnacentral:rRNA from 1 species